ensembl:lncRNA
GUCUGCAGCAAAACUGAGGCCUCUGCUGUCAGAAGGGCUGAAUAAAGGGGAAGCACAGCUCUGCGGCAAUACUCUGAUAAUCUAUUGCAGCGCGGCUCACAUCAGUGUCCACCAACCUCAGAAGCAGCUCGGCAGGACCAAAGGGGAGUUUUCGCUUUCAUUAUCGACCCUGCUUCUGUUCUACUUAAUAUUUCCUUCAUCAUCUCAUGUUGUUUCUUAUGGACUUGGAUAUAUUGGAAAGAAAGAAUGCAGAGGCAGAGAAAAAAUGGCAAAUCCUCCAUUUUCUCACGAGAUUUGGGCAUUUAAAAUGUGUCCAUCUAUUCUGAAUGUCAUUAUUUGAUAACGUUUUAUUUGUUACUUAAACCUCACUGGAUACAUUGGAACUCCGUGGGAUUUUAAUAUGGAUUCGGCUUCUGUUGGACAACUAGCUUCAUCUCCAGCUUCCUGCUGGUUCAGUCUUACGUGGUCAUUCCUGAUGCAUUAGAUUAUCAAACAGUGUGAAUUUGCUGUGAGUGGGCGGUGUUGGCUGUGUUUGUAUAUCAUGAUUCGUGAAACCUCUGACAAGGAACCAAAACACCAAAACUUGUGAGCCUUUACCCUCCUCUAUUUCUUUAAUGUGCUGUUGGAAGAACCACAUUUUGAUGGUGUAACCAAUAGUUACCUCUGGGCCAGGUUGGAAAUGAAAUCAAUUUUUUAAACCACUAAUACUUGCCAAGAAAUCGCCUUAUGAGAACAUGGUGUGUGUCUCUGACAAUGCAUGGCACAUCUAAAUUGGUCGUUCAUAAUCUUAUCUCCCUGCUUAUGUACUGGAGAGCGGCAAAAGCCCAAGGCAUCUGGAUAUCCCUGUGCCCAAUGGCUGGGAUAUGACGGACCCUUCGGCUCUUACCAUUCCCGUACAGGCAGGUCUCCAUGAAGAAGCUGGGACUCAUUCACAUUUCCAGAUCCAAAUGCUGUGCAAACAGUGUUAGCUUAGAUCUUCUACAAAUGAAGGGUCAUUUCUCUCUUUUUUUAAAAGUAUGUCUCCAACAUGGAUUCCAAAGCAUUUUCAGCAUCAAACAUGAAAACAUUGAUGAGUGAGAAACAAUCACAAAAGCUGUGUAUCUGUAUAUAGCUCUGUACAACACGUCUGUGGAUAUUGAGUCAUUAUUUAAAGCACAUGCCAGGGAAAGAGACCAAAUUUCAAGGUCUUUUAUAUACAGUGACAUGGUUCUAAGGAGAAUGAAACUCCUACCACUUCCUCUGAAUAUUAAAAAUAUUAAAGUCAUUAUAAUUUCAUAAAACUCAUGACUGAGUCUGGCAAACAUGUGCAACUCUUAUAUUGAUCCAUUCUCUCGUCAAUGGAAGAAGUCCUUCCACGUAUAUGCAAGUGGGAGAUUAAAAACCUGCAUUUUUAAAGGACAAACAGUGAAUUUAAGCAUGAGUGGCCUUAAUAAAUAUAGUUGUCUUUCUUUGCUGCUGUGGGAAAGAUUCUAAACAAAUGUUCCUGAAGUCUUGCAUUGAAUUUACUCAUUAUUAUUACUUUUUAAGAUGUUGGUGCAAUUAACUCUGGGCCUCUCUGGUGAGCCAUAGAGAUAUUUCAAAGACAAAUACCUUAUUGGCUGGGAAGAUGAACCUGUCUCAGAGGUGCACCAACCAUUCAUGGUGCACACGACUUACAUAUUCAAGCAAGUUUCUUGCUUGCAGCUUUGUUCUUAUUGUCAGUAAGUAUACCGAAUUAUGUAAAGCUUACAUGUUGCGUAAACAAUCCAAAUACAUUCAUGUUUUAAAAGUUUGUCCUUUAAUGAUCAAAGGGAUGUAGUCUUGGUUGGAGAAGUGAGCAGAGUUCUUUUCAAGGUGAAUUCCUACAUUGUGACCCAGUGUCACACUGAAAACCCAGGCUGCAGAUGCAUCCCCGGGAAUGGUUUGUCCUCACUGCCUCCUGCAACCAGGUCCUGACCUGAACUCUGCAACUGAAUUCUUGAAAUAGGAAGUAGGAAAUCCAGUAGGAAAAAUAGGGUCAUUGAAAUAGAAAAACAAAGAAACAAACAAACCAUGUAUAGUUAGCUAUUUCUAUGUACGUGCCAAUUUUGUCACAGCUAUUGUUUGGGGGAUUAUUUUCUGCCCCACUUUCAUUGGUUAAAAGUAUUAUUGAUCUUCCCUUCAUGGAGCCAUAAUGUUUAGUCCCUUAAAAAUUCAAUUCUAUUGACUAUAGCAUUUUUUCUCAUUUUAUGUAAUAUUCUCUGAUGUUUGGAAGUUACAAAAACAUCCCUUUUCACUCAUUAAAAAUAGUCUCUGGGUUUACAACAAACACUGUGAUGUUGGGAAAGUAUUUUCUUUGUGCAAGCUGUAGCAAAUUCCCUUCUAAUUAUAAUGUAGUUGAAAAGAGUUUGGGCUAACAUUUAGCAGAAGUUCGUCUAAGUCUUACUAUGUGCAAAGCAGGCUUGUACUUUAUACCCCAUUUGAUUUAUAUGUACAGUCUCAAUUUUGUAUUUAAUGAUUUUUGUGUAUUCAGUAUGCACGUCAACAGCGUGUCAACUUCCAUUUGAAAGUGGGUUUUACUUUUUAAACAGUGUUGAUGAUAAGACCUCAAAUGUGUUGACAUAAGCUCUCUCUGCGACGUUCUUGUGUAGAGUGGCAUUUGAAUGCUCCCCGGGCUCGGUGUAUCUACUUUCCUGAGACCCUCGUUUGAUAGUGCUUCUUGUAAUAUUUCCUCAAGUGAGUGGCAUGUGGGUUGUGAUAUUGACCAUGUGAUUAUGGACAUCGAUAUGAAAAAAUAAAUAAAAUUAAGGAACACUUGAAACUACCAGUGGGCAUGUAUUAGCCAGUUAUUGUAACCUUGUGUCCAGUAGAAGUAUAAUGUACAAGGUAUGUACAGUUCAUAAAUUUGUUAUCAUGUGUAUGAGAAGUACUUUGUGCUGAUCGCCUUAUUUAUAUUCA